rnacentral:rRNA from 1 species
AUUGAACGCUGGCGGCAGGCCUAACACAUGCAAGUCGAGCGAGCGGCGGACGGGUGAGUAAUGUAUGGGGACUGCCCGAUAGAGGGGGAUAACUACUGGAAACGGUAGCUAAUACCGCAUACUAUCGGAUAACCCAUAUGGGAUUAGCUAGUUGGUGGGGGAAAGGCUCACCAAGGAAACGAGCCGUAGCUGGUUUGAGAGGACGACCAGCGACACUGGGACUGUGCAACGGCCCAGACUCCUACGGAGGCAGCAGUGGGGAAUUUUGGACAAUGGGGGAAACCCUGAUCCAGCCAUCCCGCGUGUAUGAUGAAGGCCUUCGGGUUGUAAAGUAUUUUUGUCAGAGAAGCGGUAUCUGCAGAAUAAGCACCGGCUAACUACGUGCCAGCAGCCGCGGUAAUU